AUGCAAGUCGAACGGUAAUAUUUCUAGCUUGCUAGAAGAUGACGAGUGGCGGACGGGUGAGUAAUGCUUGGGGACUUGCCUUUGCGAGGGGGAUAACAGUUGGAAACGACUGCUAAUACCGCAUAAUGUCUUCGGACCAAACGGGGCUUAGGCUCCGGCGCAAAGAGAGGCCCAAGUGAGAUUAGCUAGUUGGUAAGGUAACGGCUUACCAAGGCGACGAUCUCUAGCUGUUCUGAGAGGAAGAUCAGCCACACUGGGACUGAGACACGGCCCAGACUCCUACGGGAGGCAGCAGUGGGGAAUAUUGCACAAUGGGGGAAACCCUGAUGCAGCCAUGCCGCGUGUGUGAAGAAGGCCUUCGGGUUGUAAAGCACUUUCAGUUGUGAGGAAAAGUUAGUAGUUAAUACCCGCUAGCCGUGACGUUAACAACAGAAGAAGCACCGGCUAACUCCGUGCCAGCAGCCGCGGUAAUACGGAGGGUGCGAGCGUUAAUCGGAAUUACUGGGCGUAAAGCGCACGCAGGCGGUUUGUUAAGCUAGAUGUGAAAGCCCCGGGCUCAACCUGGGAUGGUCAUUUAGAACUGGCAGACU
rnacentral:rRNA from 1 species